rnacentral:rRNA from 1 species
AGCGAACGCUGGCGGUAGGCCUAACACAUGCAAGUCGAACGCCAGCACAGUAAGAGCUUGCUCUUACGGGUGGCGAGUGGCGGACGGGUGAGGAAUACAUCGGAAUCUACUUUUUCGUGGGGGAUAACGUAGGGAAACUUACGCUAAUAUCUCAUCCGACCUACGGGUGAAAGCAGGUGAUCUUCGGACUUUGCGCGAUUGAUUGAGCCGAUGCCGGAUUAGCUAGUUGGCGGGGUAAAGGCCCACCAAGGCGACGAGCCUUAGCUGGUCUGAGAGGAUGAUCAGCCACACUGGAACUGAGACACGGUCCAGACGCCUACGGGAGGCAGCAGUGGGGAAGAGUGGACAAUGGGCGCAAGCCUGAUCCAGCCAUACCGCGUGGGUGAAGAAGGCCUUCGGGUUUUAAAGCCCUUUUGUUGUGAAAGAAAAGCAGCAGGUUAAUACCCCGCUGUUCUGACGGUACCCAAAGAAUAAGCACCGGCUAACUUCGUG